rnacentral:rRNA from 1 species
GAUGAACGCUGGCGGCGUGCCUAAUACAUGCAAGUCGAGCGAACAGACGAGGAGCUUGCUCCUCUGACGUUAGCGGCGGACGGGUGAGUAACACGUGGAAAACCUACCUGUAAGUCUGGGAUAAUUUCGGGAAACCGGAGCUAAUACCGGAUAAUAUAUUGAACCGCAGGGUUGGAUAGUGAAAGACGGCUUUGCGGUAACUUAUAGAUGGAUCCGCGCCGCAUUAGCUAGUUGGUAAGGUAACGGCUUACCAAGGCAACGAUGCGUAGCCGACCUGAGAGGGUGGUCGGCCACCCUGGAACUGAGACACGGUCCAGACUCCUACGGGAGGCAGCAGUAGGGAAUCUUCCGCAAUGGGCGAAAGCUUGACGGAGCAACGCCGCGUGAGUGAUGAAGGUCUUCGGAUCGUAAAACUCUGUUAUUAGGGAAGAACAAAUGUGUAAGUAACUAUGCACGUCUUGACGGUACCUAAUCAGAAAGCCACGGCUAACUACGUG